CUCAGAACUCAAAUGAAGUUGACGGGGCCCGCACAAGCGGUGGAGUAUGUGGUUUAAUUCGAUGCAACGCGAAGAACCUUACCUGGUCUUGACAUCCCGGAGACCCUAGGAACUAGGGGUGCUUCCAUCUGGAAGAAUCUGGAGACAGGUGCUGCAUGGCUGUCGUCAGCUCGUGUCGUGAGAUGUUGGGUUAAGUCCCGCAACGAGCGCAACCCUUGCCUUUAGUUGCCAGCAGUUCGGCUGGGCACUCUAAAGGGACUGCCGGUGUUAAACCGGAGGAAGGUGGGGAUGACGUCAAGUCCUCAUGGCCUUUAUGACCAGGGCUACACACGUACUACAAUGGCCGAUACAAAGGGCAGCGACACUGCGAGGUGAAGCCAAUCCCGUAAAAUCGGUCUCAGUCCGGAUUGGAGUCUGCAACUCGACUCCAUGAAGUUGGAAUCGCUAGUAAUCGCCGGAUCAGCCAAGCCGCGGUGAAUACGUUCCCGGGCCUU
rnacentral:rRNA from 1 species